GGGGUUGUAGCUCAGUGGUAGAGUGCUUUGCUAGCAUGUAUGUGGCCCUGGGUUUGAUUCCCAGCACCA
rnacentral:tRNA from 1 species